CGGAAAACUCGCUCGUGCCAUCGU
rnacentral:miRNA from 1 species